rnacentral:lncRNA from 1 species
AUGUAACUUUCCUAUAUAUCAAUCUUUACCUUCGGACCAUUAUGGAUCUCCUCGUGACGUCCGGGAUCUCAUCCAGGACUCCGAACAACUUUCGGUGAAAAAUAUACAUAACUUAAUAAUACCGAAACAUCACCGAACCUUAAGUGUGCAGACUCUACGGGUUCGAGAACUAUUCAGACAUGACCUGAGACACUCUUCGGUCAAUGACCAAAAGUGGGACCUGGAUUCCCAUAUUGGCUCCUACAUAUUCUACGAAGAUCUUUAUCGGUUGAACCUCUAUGUUAAGAAUUUAAUUAAUCCCAUAUGUUGUUCCCUUUGUCCUUCGGUAUGUUACUUGCCCGAGAUUCGGUCGUCGGUAUCUUGAUACCUAGUUCAAUCUUGUUACCGGCAAGUCUCUUUACUUAUUCCAUAAUACAAGAUCCCAUGACUAACUCCUUGUCACAUUGCUUGCAAGGCUUGUUGUGAUGUUGUAGUACCGAGUGGGCCCUCAGAUACCUCUCCGUCACACGGAGUGACAAAUCCCGGUCUUGAUUCACGCCAACCCAA